UGAUGUUAGCGGCGGACGGGUGAGUAACACGUGGGUAACCUGCCUGUAAGACUGGGAUAACUCCGGGAAACCGGGGCUAAUACCGGAUGGUUGUUUGAACCGCAUGGUUCAAACAUAAAAGGUGGCUUCGGCUACCACUUACAGAUGGACCCGCGGCGCAUUAGCUAGUUGGUGAGGUAACGGCUCACCAAGGCAACGAUGCGUAGCCGACCUGAGAGGGUGAUCGGCCACACUGGGACUGAGACACGGCCCAGACUCCUACGGGAGGCAGCAGUAGGGAAUCUUCCGCAAUGGACGAAAGUCUGACGGAGCAACGCCGCGUGAGUGAUGAAGGUUUUCGGAUCGUAAAGCUCUGUUGUUAGGGAAGAACAAGUACCGUUCGAAUAGGGCGGUACCUUGACGGUACCUAACCAGAAAGCCACGGCUAACUACGUGCCAGCAGCCGCGGUAAUACGUAGGUGGCAAGCGUUGUCCGGAAUUAUUGGGCGUAAAGGGCUCGCAGGCGGUUUCUUAAGUCUGAUGUGAAAGCCCCCGGCUCAACCGGGGAGGGUCAUUGGAAACUGGGGAACUUGAGUGCAGAAGAGGAGAGUGGAAUUCCACGUGUAGCGGUGAAAUGCGUAGAGAUGUGGAGGAACACCAGUGGCGAAGGCGACUCUCUGGUCUGUAACUGACGCUGA
rnacentral:rRNA from 1 species